UGGUGACUAUAGCAAGGAGGUCACACCUGUUCCCAUGCCGAACACAGAAGUUAAGCUCCUUAGCGUCGAUGGUAGUCGAACUUACGUUCCGCUAGAGUAGUUAGCGACGAUGGUAGCCAACUUACGUUCCGCUAGAGUAGAACGUUGCCAGGCA
rnacentral:rRNA from 1 species